AGAGUUUGAUCAUGGCUCAGGACGAACGCUGGCGGCGUGCUUAACACAUGCAAGUCAAGGGGGCCCAGCAAUGGGCAACCGGCGAACGGGUGCGUAACACGUGAGCAACCUACCGAACUGUGGGGGAUAGCCGGCCUAACGGCCGAGUAAUACCGCAUACGCUUUCAUUGAGGCAUUUCAGUGAAAGGAAACCUACGGGACAGAUCGAGGGGCUCGCGGCCUAUCAGCUAGUUGGCGAGGUAACGGCUCACCAAGGCUACGACGGGUAGCUGGUCUGAGAGGAUGGCCAGCCACAUUGGGACUGAGAUACGGCCCAGACUCCUACGGGAGGCAGCAGUGGGGAAUCUUGCGCAAUGGCCUAACGGCUGACGCAGCGACGCCGCGUGUGGGAUGAAGCUCUUCGGAGUGUAAACCACUGUUGCCCGGGACGAAUAGCUCGAUUAAUCGAGCCUGACGGUACCGGGUGAGGAAGCACCGGCUAACUCCGUGCCAGCAGCCGCGGUAAUACGGGGGGUGCGAGCGUUGUCCGGAAUCACUGGGCGUAAAGGGCGCGUAGGUGGUUUGAUAAGGGUGUGGUGAAAGUCCGGGGCUCAACCCCGGAUCUGCCGUGCCGACUGUCAAACUCGAGGGCUGUAGAGGCAGACGGAAUUCCGGGUGUAGCGGUGGAAUGCGUAGAGAUCCGGAGGAACACCUGUGGCGAAGGCGGCCCCCUGGUCGGAUACUGACGCUGAGACGCGAAAGCGUGGGGAGCAAACAGGAUUAGAUACCCUAGUAGUCC
rnacentral:rRNA from 1 species